AUUUGUGGACUUUUGAAUGAUGGCCAUUCUGACUGGUGUGAGGUGAUACCUCAUUGUAUUUUGAUUUGCAUUUCUCUGAUAAUUAGCAAUACUGAUCACUUUUUCAUUUGCCUAUUGGCCAGUUGUAUGUCUUCAUUGUAGAAUUGUUUUUUAGGUCUUUUGCCCAUUUUUGGAUAGAGUUGCUUUUUGUUGUUGUUGUUAUUAAAUUGUAUGAGCUAUUUAUACAUUC